rnacentral:misc_RNA from 1 species
CUCAACCACAUCAGAUAAUAAUGAAUAAUCAAUCAGACUGGAUAUCCGGCAUUCUGGAGAAAACAUUUUCUGUUCUCCUCUUUGUGCUUUACUCUCUCUGGUAAGUUCUCUUUCCCUCUCAAGUUUUUUGUGUUUAGAUCUCAAUUGAAAUUGGUAGAAUCGCUCGAUUUGAACUUAGAAAUUGAAGGAUCUGCUGAAAUUUUAUCUGUAAAUUUGAAACUACUGAAAGUGCUGUGAUUAGUGCUUGACAAUGGCUGAGGUUGCUCCAAAUGCUGAGCUAUUGGAAUGGCCAAAGAAGGAUAAGCGCCGAUUCCUUCAUGUCGUGUAUCGUGUUGGCGAUCUGGAUCGCACCAUAAAGUAUGAUUCUUUUGGAAAGAAAAGCUCUUUCGCAACUGUUAUAUCUGUACAUUUUUUAAAGGGAAAAAGUCUUAUAAUGUUUAAUUUGGUAGAUUUUAUACUGAAUGCUUUGGGAUGAAGCUGUUGAGGAAAAGAGAUGUUCCAGAGGAAAAGUACUCUAAUGCAUUUCUUGGGUUUGGCUCUGAAGAGACUAAUUUUGUUGUGGAGCUGACUUACAAUUAUGGAGUGACUUCAUAUGAUAUUGGAGAUGGUUUUGGGCAUUUUGCAAUUGCGACUCAGGAUGUAUACAAGUUGGUUGAAGACAUCCGUGCCAAGGGUGGCAUUAUCUCUAGGGAGCCUGGUCCAGUCAAAGGUGGGACUACUGUUAUUGCCUUUGCAAAGGAUCCAGAUGGUUAUAUUUUUGAACUCAUUCAAAGAGGACCAACUCCUGAGCCCCUGUGCCAAGUAAUGCUUCGUGUUGGUGAUCUGGAUCGUUCUAUCCAGUUCUAUGAAAAGGCCUUAGGCAUGAAGUUUUUAAGGAAGGUUGAUAAUCCCCAGUACAAGUAUACCUUGGCGAUGAUGGGCUAUGCAGAUGAAUAUGAGACAACUGUUCUUGAGUUGACUUACAAUUAUGGUGUGACUGAAUAUUCCAAGGGAAAUGCAUAUGCGCAGGUUGCAAUUGGUACUGAUGAUGUCUACAAAAGUGCUGAGGUUGUCAACUUGGUUACCCAAGAGCUUGGUGGGAAAAUAACUCGACAACCUGGACCACUUCCUGGAAUUAACACUAAAAUUACUUCUUUUCUAGACCCAGAUGGCUGGAAAACGGUCCUGGUUGACAAUGAAGACUUUCUCAAGGAACUGCAGAAGGGAGAUUCUGCUUAAUUUAAGCGGGCUGUAGGUGCACUACUUGUAUGAAAUAAGUUGGUGUUAUUUGUAUCUAAAGCAGCUAGUAAUCCUGGCUUUGGGUUUUGUGAUGGAACCAAGUGAACCUGCGGAGAACAUGUUUAUAUAAAUUGGUGGUAGCAUAUUAAGGCUUUGUUUGGCUAUUCAUUUUUACUUGUCCAUGUUGCUUUUUUCUUAGUAAGGUAGUUUUAUUUGAAAUCAAUGUUUUCAUUUACCGAGCUUCUUUAGAUGGAGAGAAGAAAAAGAAAGGGGCUAUGUAUUGUUAAAUAGUACAUAAAGCAAUAAUAAAGUACAUUGGGUUCUUAUAGACCAAACUAGUAAAUUUGC